GCCUGAGAUCUUCUUUGUGUCCAGCAUUCCUGGCAAGUAGACAUUGUCAUACGAUUUGUUUUUCUGGCUAUACUUAGAGUAGUAAAACUUAUCUGCGUGUCCAAGAGCUUUUUCAUUUUCUCUGUUGGCAUGAAUAUCAAAGUCUGUCCUUCCUAAGUUGUACCCACUGAGGGAUGGAGAUGUGCCCGACAGGGAACUCAAAUGCUUUACAGAGAAGCUUUUAUCUGGAAGAUACGGACUUUCACAAGGGAAAAGCUUGCCUCCUUGAAUUUUGGUAACAGAGUGUAUAUUUUUAACACUAGUGGAAGGACUGGGUUUAGCCAUCAUAGGCUGUGAAAGGGUUAAGUAAGAACCGGCGCAGUCCCCGUUUGUUUUAAAUUUGAGACUUGAUGAAUAUUUCUUCGUGUUGAGGUUUUCCAUAAUAUCCUGGAGACCGUUUUCAAGGGAAUUCACCACAGAACCCUUUCCCAAACUAGCAUUUUGUAAUUCCAUCUGGUUUUGUGUGUGGUUAUACUCUGCCAUAAUCUUACUGGAAUCUGACCCAACAUUCUGAAGGGACGAGGCGUUACUUCUGUUUGACAUCAUAUUCUUUUAACUGUCACAUAGAAGAUGAAACUUAAUUUUGACCGCCGCCGCGCAUCCCGCUGCCGCCCGCCGCUGCCGCCCCGUCCCGGCCCCGCGCCGCCGCCGCCACCGCCGCCGGGAGCCGCCCCCCGCACCGCGCAGCGCAGCCCAGCAGCCAGCGCCGCCCCCGGCGGGGCUCGGCCGUGAGGUACCCCCGCGGGCGGAAUGGUUCGUUCCCCGCAGGCUGGGGUCGCGAGAGCGGGGCAGGCGAAGAGAAGCCGGAAUAGGGGGGGGGUGGGGCUGGGAGGAGGCGAUCGGGAGAAAAGAGCGGAAAGAGCGAUAGGGCGAGGGUUGGCGGCGGCCGGCUGGGUCCUGCCCCGCCGCGCCCCCACAGCCAGGGGUAAGCGGCGCGGCGUGAGGGGCAGCGCCGGGGCAGUCCGCGAGAGCAGCCGGCCCCCCAGGGGCCGCUCCGGGCGUUUUGCGAAGCAUAAAUAUUAAUCAUGAGGCAAUUUCCUGCCCGUAAGAUUAGCUGAGCAAAUAGGGCGGCUGCCGGGAAGGCGCGGGCUUGCUUUUCUUCGCCUGGGGUGCUCUUACCUGCGCCCUCCUGGGAGCCCUGAGGGCAAGGCUGCUCCCUGAGCCCCAGGAGGGAAAGGGGCUGCCCCGGGGCGGAGCCUGGCAGCCACCUGUGGGGCCUUGGAACAGUUUGCCCCCACCUGGAAAAACACCACCACCAAGCAGCACGUGUGCGUGCACACGCUCGUGGCCUCCUGGAGAGGCCCUAGGUUUCCGGGAAGGCUGUGUGGCUGCUAUGCCCUACUAGCUGUCCCAGGGUAGGGAGCCCAGCUGACCCAGCAGGCUGGGCACAGGGCUUCGGCCAGCAGCCCAUGGCCCUGCAUACCAGGCAGGGUGCGUUUAGUGAAACAGUGUGUCCAGUCCACGACAUAUUUGUCCACAAAGGCUGGGGACUCUGACCCAGGCACCUCCAGAGGUCUGGGAGGCUGCUAAGCGAUAGGCAGCAGGGCUGCUGCUGUCACCAGGGCAAACCAAGGAGCCUCCAGGUUCUCUGAGGAGACCUGCAAGAGCCAGACACGCAGCCAGCAUUGUUCCUUCAGCACGUAUGCAUCCUCAGCCUCACGAAGAAAACCCCAGCGAUCAAUGAACUGACCCCAUCCCAUGAUGUGAGGGCAGCAGGCCAGGGCGUCCUGGAUAAUGGUCUUGCUCGGUGCAGCGUUGGCCUUGAUGCCCUGACAUUUCCUGUUUGUGUCUCAAUAAGCAAGCACCACCUGCAUGGGGCCUGGGUAGCACCCCGCAGACCUGACACACUACAGAAACUCUGCACUGGUCCUGGUUGCAGCAUUAGUUAUGAUCUGGAGCCCGUCUUGCCUUUUCCAGGGGAUAUUUUACUUGGCUAAAAGAAUCACUUUACCACCGUAUAAACUCUGCAAUCCCUCUUUAAAAUCUCUAAUCUGUGUUAUAACACCCUCAGUCCCAGAGAACACUAAAGAGGUAAUGGCUGUCCUGGUGUCUACUGCAGUUUUCAUAGAAAAUGAUGAGCUUUUAAGACAAGUUAUUCCAAGAGGCCAGAACCUAGCUGAGCUCUUCCCCUGGUGAUGUCUGGGGGCUUCAUCUACUGCUGGUGUUGAACCUGGCUCUUCUGCUCUGCUCACCAAACAAACAGUAAGUCCACGCGGUUAAACAAAUAAAGCCACAUACACGUCAGGAAUGCAAAGUUAAGGACAUGCUCACAGCUGGAAGAAGUGAGAAUGGCUUUUAACAGUGCCGUGUAGUCAGAGCCAAAAGCAGCCAGCCUUCCCUUCAUCUCAGGGGGUUUUCUUUUGUUAUUUUGAGUGGGAAAACUAAUAGUAGUCUACAAAAACCUCCCUAGGGAAAAUGAAGCCUAAUAAUGUGGAAAAGAGUAACUUACAAAGGUACAAACCUUUCCUCUGAAAGAAUUUAGGAAUGGCUGUUGAAUUGUUCCUGUGGUUAGCUCCUACACAGUAGGUGGGGUGUCAGCAAAGCUGGAUGAGGCUGAGCGUGUGUUUCCCCUCCUAGACGUAGGUAGGUCACUCUGAAAGUGAUGCCUCCUCUUUAUUUCUACGGAAACUACAGUAUAUACAAAAUACACAAUAGCACUGUUUGAUAGGGCACAUUCUCUGCUACUAAACACUGUUUUCAAUAUAGUCACCACCAAUAUCUUUCAGUAUAGUCACCACCAUUAGCUAUGCAUUUUCUCCAGCAAUGAACAAGAGCCUGUAUGCCAUACUUGUAAAAAUCUACAUAGCUGUCCAGAACGUGGCUUGUCUUUCACACUGCUGUCACCACCACUGAAACACACCGCCUCGCUGUUUGAUCUCCAUCAACGUUCAGCAAGCAUUGAUGUAUGCCAGUGGGUGCAAUUUUUUCUGCAUGAAAGAAUUCAGUGACACACCUUUGCUUCAUUAGCACUUCCACAUCAGAUGUGAUUUUGUCAGACUGCCCCUCUGCUACCAUCUGUCACACAGCAACUAAAUGUAUUGUAAUACUGAUGGGAAGGUUCAGUCUCUCCUACUGUACCACCAACACCCGCCUCUAAUGUUGUGGGCUGAAAUAGGAGGCAUUACUUUCAGAACAGUGCUUGUACGUAUGGGAAAACGUUACCCAAAUCAGUGUCAUCUGUUUCUUGGCAGCAAAAGAAUAAAGAAGAAGGAAUAGAGCUUGUUUCCAAAAUAACAAGAGAUACACAAGGCCAGCCAUAGCUACAGCCAUGAAAUAAGUUGAUAAGCUGGAAUGUCUAACAAGCAAGACUGGCAACUUGUAACAAAAACUACACAUCUGAAUCUUUCAUGAUUGAGAAAUACCCAAAAGUGAGCAAAGAAGUAAAACUCCAAAAACUAAAGAGGUGCAACCUGCCUGCUCUUGUUGUAACGAAAGCAACGAAACGCCUCUUAUUAAAGAAAAUCAUGAAAAAUGAUAUGGAAACUUGCACAUGAGCUAGGAUUUUCAGAAGGGUUCACUUGUCCACCUAGCUAGCUUGAGCUGUCUUCAUGGCGGUGUCAUUGCUACAUCAACUGCAUUGCAAAUCACGGAGGCCUUUAAAACUCUCCACCCUUGAGUAUGCAGCAUGCUCAAUAAAGGUUUAGUAGUUUCCAUGGUAAUUCAUAUAAGUAAAAAUCAACUGUUGGAAAGCUUGCAGGAAGUAUAUUUUAAUCAGGAGCAUUGAAAAUGGUAAUAAAAAUAUCUCAUUAGCAAUCUUCUGUAACAGGGAAGGAGAAAUCUCUUCAGCCGGUUCUAAACUGAAGGUGAAGUCACCUCUCUGAGGUGAAGUCACCUCUCAGCAGGCACUCACAGACUCCCUUAACCAGUCCCUUAGCAUUGCAGAUUUUAUCCACAUGUGUGGAUAAAGGUGUGGGCAUGACUGCGUUUCUGUACCAUGAGCCAGAGCCCACAGCUGGUUCUGGCUUUGUGCUACCUGCGGGAGGAGAGACAACACUGACCUGACAAAGUCAGUCAAGAUAAAGCUAUCUGUUGAUGACUCUGAGCAUAGCUACACCCAGUUUUGUAUUUGGUGGCAAAACUGGUCCAGUUUCUUCCCUUUCCUGCCUUAAGUAUUCAUUUAGGUUCCCAACCUAUAGUCUGUGGCUUUCUUUGGUGGGCUGAUACGGUUCUUGGUGGAAACCAGGUCAAGAAAAUGAUCCAGGUGAAUACUUCUUUCCCUGCCCCCUUCUUCUGAAAAAGGUCCAAUAUGUCCUUGUGCUAGGGUGACUGAUGAGGAGAGGAACCAUGGCGCAGCACAGAUCUGAGAUGCUGUGCUGCAGACCAAGCUACAUUUCUUGAAACAGCAUCACCAAUACACCAAUGGAUUUUUCAAUUGCACCCUUCUUGGGCAGCACAUGGCAACAAAUGGGGUUGUACUGACUCAGUGCUUUGCAGCACGUGACCAGAGCAUUUGCAACCACUGCCUCAGUAAGGAAACCCAGCUGUUGUUUGCUGUUGCAGAAUAAUACAAACACAAUUGCUUAUAGCUCAAAAAUAAUAACAAUUUUCACUACCAGAGCUUCUGAAAGCAAGUGGUAAUUCUGCUGUAACGUCAUCAGAGACAUUUUGAGGCAGUGCAGUAGGCUGGGUCUGGUUCUGAAGGAAUCUUGGUUUUUAAGGCUCACUGGGAAUCUCUACUAAACAAACAGGCAACCUGGAGCAUGACUGCAUUCAUUAGUACCAUGCUGGUGAAAAAAGAAUAAACAUUCCUGAUAGUUCCGCUUGUCAUCUGAGCUACCGUCUGGAAAUCUGUUAAUGCAGCACGCAGAAUGGAGGUAUAUCAAACAAAAAGAAACUUAAGAUGAUGUUCAGCCAGUGAGGAGUUUCUGUGCCUUGCCCUAAAACUUUACUGAAUUGUCACACAAGAGUUAUCAACAACAAACCGCCUUAGGAAAAUAAGAUACAUGAGUAAUCAAAUCUCAUGCUCCAGGGCACAAGUCAAUUGCUGGAAGGGUCAGGAAUGGAAUUUCCUCACUCUCUUCCUUUGCGCAGUUGUACACAAUUAACUAGGUUGUAAUUGCAAGGCAAGAAAGUGGUUAGGCUUUGCAUUCCUCUGAAUCAUCAAGUGCUGCCUGCUUUUGCAGCUGAGUUCUGAGCUUAAGGGACCAGGCUGGCAGGGCUUGUUCUUAGUUGCUCUUCUGUGAGGCUCUGCUGAUGUUUGCAUUGCAGUUGCAGGGUCUGCUCUUUUCGUGCUUGCACAGUAUGCCCGUAUUUCAGAACAACCAUGAAAGUGAGGACUUAGUUUUCUGUUAAUGAGUUGUCACCUUAAAAUGUCUUUACCAGUAAACUGCAUAACUGUUUAUUACUCACAUAAGUAGUAGCAGUGUUGUAGCCAUAAUGACCUAGAGAUAUAAACAAGACAAGAGUUGUUGGAAAGGCAACCAUUUUUGUUAAAGCAAGCAGACCAUUUAGUGUAAUAGAAGGUCUUGCUAGUUCCUAUGUAAGUAAUUCAUUUUAGUAGUCAAAAAGGUUUUAACUGACAGGCCACAUACGACUCUUUGUGUCACAAGAGCACUACCCUGUUAGUUGGAGCAUGGCUGUCUUUGUAGCUGAUUAAUUGCUUCCCUUUACCAGAAGCAGCAUGCAUUUGUGAAUGAGAGAGGCUUAUGAUUUAAUUAUUCAACCCUCGAUACUAUAGCUAAACUCAUUACAGUGUUAUUGAAGUUUUUUCUACACAUAAAUACGUAUUUGGUACAUGAUAGCCAGUUCUGUGAACAAACAAGCUGAUAAGCCCAAGCGCGGGCUCUACAGGCAGCACCUUGUUCAGUGUUCCUUACAGGUGUUAAGGCAGUAAGCAAAUGAUGGGCAAAGAAGACAUGGUGCGAAUACAAUAGCUGCCGUGUUUCACUACAAUCACAGAUGAGGGCAGCAAUUCGUUCUGUAGUUGGUGGCUGGAUACAAGGGGUAUCUGUGUCCUGCGGUUGCUCCUUCUAGACUUUUUUUCCCAGCGAGGAAUAAGUUGAUUAAUAGAUUCCCAUACACGCCUUAAUUUGUCUCUGAUGCCAAGCCAGGAAAAUGUGCUGUUCCCAUUUGGUCUCUAUCUGUCAUUAUCAAAUCUGGAUGCACAAAUGUUUUUAUCUCUCUCUCUAUAACAAUGCAGCGGGUUGUCUGAGCGAGACAGUGCUUUCUUUAGUAGGGAAACUGAAGAAAUCUAAAAACGCUUAAGCCACAUGACCAAGGUUACACACAAAAUCUCAGCUACAGCAAAACACUGAGUGGAAAAACCCACGAUACUUCUUUGAUUUUGAAGUUAAUUUGUGUAAAUUCAGUUAACUAGUAGAGUCAGAAGAGGUAAAACAGUGCCUUUCUACCAAAAGGGAAAAUGGUUGCCAAAACGUUCGUCAUCCUCUUCAGAGUAAUUUGAGCUAUAAAUGAGUUAGUGGCUUUCUUAAGGGUGAAAGCUCAUCCUAAUGAAGGUUAGAUAAAAUACAUCUUCACAGUGGCUUCAUCGAGCCGUCUUUGCUAACACUGAACAUUGCUUUGCUGCACUGAAGAGAGUUGUAGAGGGAUUUUCUUGGCAGAUGGCCCUCAAAUGUGAAAUUAACUCUCAUUAACAACACAAAGGAUGACACAAUAUCACUACAGCUUUCCUCCACUACUAGGGCCAGAAUAAGAUGCAGACAAAUUUCAGCCUUAGUUUUGUGUGUGCGUUUGUUGCUGUUUUUCUUUCCUCUAAACAGGGACAAGAUUAAAGCAACAGAAAACAAAUACAAAUUAUCAUUUUCCUCCCUAUCUGUCCUUUACUCAAAGCUGCUUAUGUGCUUAGAUAAACAAAAUAUGCAAAACCCAAAGACAAACAUCCUGGAGAGUCACUAAUGCCCGAUUCAAACUCAGCCUAACCAGAACAGUAGUCCAAGCACCUAACUCCCUGCCUGCCAUUGCAACUCAUUCAACAAAAUCCUAAAAAUGGAGCAGAGCGGGGGAAGAAGAUGGCAGCAUGGAGCGCAUUCCCUCCUGUCAGACAGCAUGGGCCGAAAAGGGAGAUGGACCAAUGCCUCCCUGCAUUUUUAAACUGGUCACCGCUGUAGAAAGCCAGCUCCUACAGCCAAGACAACUUAGAUACCAAGCCGCUCACUUCAGAGCAUCUGUGCCUGUCCUACAUCACUGCGUGCCAGCAACCCAGGCUGCCUGUUUACAGAGCAGUCCCAUGCUUGCUUUUCCAUCUGGGUCUGCCCUGCUGCAACCACGAUCCCAUGUGCUCCCAAUGAAAUUCACACUGACUGAUGUUGAAUUAGGCCCACAGGAAGCAAUAAAAUACGCUUGCUGAUCCCAGAGUAUCACAGGAAAUUAACAUGUGACAUUUUUUAACACGUUGUUUUAAUAAAUUAAUUUUGUACUGUAGUUUAAAGAGGACCAUGAAAUGUGAGGUAGGACGCUGGGGGUGGUCUCUCUUCAGUUUCAUAAUGCCUUGUUUGCACGUUGCAUUUUUUUUCCCCUUCUUCUUUGUGCUACCAAAACAUUGUAACAGUCACAGAAGCAUCCCAGCAUUAAAUGAACAACACCAUUCAUCUUGAUUCCAUGUUCCCACGAGUCUGUCCUGUGACCUUAUCUGAGAAAGCCUUCACAACCACGAAGAGAAAUACACCAUCUUAACUAACAGCAUGUGAGCUAGGUAGCAGUGUGAAAAGGGAACACAAAAGCAGCCAGCCAAUAAAUGCACGAAGAGGAAAGGGAUGAUGUUGGAUCCUCAUUAGACUUCCAAGUAGUUUGUCAUUAGCUUGCUUGUAAAACCUCGGAGGCUUUAUAGGAGAAAAAUAUUUCUUCAUGCAGAAUGCCCGAGAUCUCUUCUUCUGCGAGUGGAAGUUUCAGGUUCCCCCUCCCCCUCCAUUUCUGGAGAGGCUGCCAAGUUUGUAAGAGCUAAAAGCAACAGCUUUCUGUUCAGCGUUACUUCAUGCUUCUGGUAUUAAUCUAAUAGAAGGCUAGAAUGGGAGGAGGGGAAAGAAGCAAUGAAAGCUGAUUUCCUCCCAUGCAGCAGGAAAUCCAUAGAAAAUUCAGAUCUAACAGUAAUUUUAACAGCUGGGUCACUGCUUUGGCUUUUACUUGCCAUAGGAACACACAACUACAUAUUUAUUUAUUUUUUUAACUAUAAAAAGAAAACAGGCGUCAAGCAACAGGAAAAAUAAAAACAAGACAUGCAGUUGUAAAUACCCCUAUUAACACAUCCUCUUCAACCAGCCAGGCUAGAAGUAUUAACACCUUUUGCAAAUUGCCUCUUGUUUUCAUUAACAUUCCUAAUAACAACAUCCACGAAAACAAAAUAUAGAACGAGAUCCUCUUGCUAACAAGCACAUCAACAAAUAUUUGCUUGGGAAGUGCUCCAGUAGCCACUUUGAAAGAGUCUUAGCAAAUCACAGGACUGAGAUGUUGAGCUAAAACUCCACGAUGAAGGUGAGAAAUUCUUAGCAAAACCAGAUCACAAAUAAGCAAUAUGUAAGUCGGACACAUCAGCCCUGCAGCAAUCCACAGCCACAUAUAGCACAGACCAAAUGAUUGUUAGUAACACCUUUCUAAAGAAUACUGCAUGCUGGCAGAUAAUUUCCCGUAUUUAACCUACAAUCAUGGGUAAUUUCUUUACUGGGAAAGGCUUGCUUAUUUAUUCUGGUAAAUAAUUGCUGGGAGGGUGAUGGUCACAAGUGUGGUCCUUUAUCUUGAUUAUGUGAUUCGUUUUUUUCUUCCUUUCAUGCUUUUCUCCCAGGCUUUGCUCCACCUGCUUCUCAUGCACCAUAUGGCUCAAAUCAUGUCAUACUGCAGAACUCAAGAAUUGUUUUUUUUUUUUUUUUUUUUUUUUAAUGUUGAUGCAGAGAAAGCUUAAUAGAAUACACAUGCUGAAAUGGAACCCUGCUUUGUAGAUGAAACAGGGCUAUUGCGUGUUCAUGCGUGCUUCAUGUACUAGGAAGGAUCCAUUCUGCAGUCUGAUUUCUCCAUUUUAGCAAAUGAUGGUGGUGAGAAUGCUUUACCUGCCCACUGAUGCAUGAGAUGAACAGAGUGAACAUGACAGCUGGUUUUAAUGUCACUAGCUGCAGCCAGCUGUUACACUGAAAGCGUUAAUAACCAUUUUCAUCAGUCACGGGCUUGGAUUAAACAGACUGCAAGACUCAAGGACUCUCAAGGGUUAGUGAUGGCAGAAAAAAAACCCCAGAAGCUAACACCCAAAACACCAAGUAGGAGCCACGCAAUGUGAGCAGGGAGGCUCCUCUCGGGGCAGAUAAGUACAGGGCUGGAACACUUCAUAGCUAUAGCUUGAAGUACUGAUGGGCUGUACAGACAGAAAAUCAAGCCUUGAAAAGAAAUGGGAGAAUGAGAAAAGUUCUGGUGGAUAUUAGACUAGAAAGAAGUUCAAAAAGAUGAAGCUUCCUAGGUGUUAGUACUGCUAACUGCAGAGAUAGUUCAGAAGAAAGCUUUUCACUUUCUUUGUCCCACGUUCAUAAAACCCAGGAUUUUGUGCAGUCAACAGGACCAUUGCAAUCACUCCCUCUGUACUGCAAAAAUUCCAGCUGGUAUCAGGUUUUCCUUGUAAUGGAAACAAGCUGGCAGAACUUCAAAAACUUGAUAACAACUUAAAUAGAGAAAUGACAGCAGUAGUUAUACUUUGCUAUUAAAAUGUUGUUCUGACUUCCCUUAAAAUAUAUAUAUAUAUAUAUAUGUAGUUGGAAUUAAAAAAAAAAAUUAAAAGAGAACAAGUUAGAUACAAUUUGGCAGUGCUUACAGUAAUAGCAUUUGCAUCCAGUAGCAAAUCCAUAAGAGAAUGCAAAGAUGUGGCUAUUUUGGAAUUUGUUCAAGGAAUGAUAUCUAACAGCUCAACUUUCGUCAAACAUGCCAUGGCCAGGGGAUGUGAGCCCCGUGAAAUUUGUGAGCUCAAUCAGACAGUUUCAACGACUAAGAAACUGAAAGGGAAGUUUUGAAAAUGGCAGAUAUGUGAGCAGCUUUUUUAUUUCAUUAUUGGAAGGCAAAGAAAUCGGUCAGCCCCUGAUAAGAUUGUCUUAAGAGCACAAAUACUCCAAAGAGCCUAGGAAACUGAGUGAAAAAGUGUUGAGUAAGUGGAAAUAACCUUUGGUGGAUAAAUCCAGUCCAAGCCUUUCCCUCUCAGGCUUAAUUUUGCAUGUUUCCUUUUCCUUUUUUUUUCUCCUUCCUUCCACAGUAGAAUUGUAGGUUCAGUGUCAAGAGUAUCCUAACUUUCCCUGGCUUCUGUUCUCUGUUAAAGCCGUGUGAUCUGUGCCACUUCUCAUAGAUGUAAGAAUUAUGCAGGGGCUCACAAUAACCAGAAGCUGAGUGUCUAUAUAAAUAAGACAUUUAUACUUCUCUGGAAAAAAAAAAAAUAAUAAAAGUUUCUCUUUUAAAAGUAUUACAGUCCUUCCUUUUUCUCCUCUCAUCCUUCUUUCCUGCCCAUAUGCAACCAAAGAAAUGGCCUUUGUUAGUUAUUCUGGGCUGGCAGGAAGCCCAAAGAUCCAGCUGACAAAAACUUCAAGUCAGCAAACGCAGUGGGAGGAAUGUCCUUUUCAGAGUCCCGUUUCACAGCCUUGCUGUCACUGAACAUCACAGUAGCUCUGUGCAGAAGCACCUCGCCUCGCCCUUCGUUACAAGGUGAAUCGCCCUUACUCUGUUCCCUGUGCUGAAGUAAUUAACUCUUGUUACUCACCACCAGCACAGCUGCCCAGCCUGUGGAUGCUGGGCUCUGGGGGAAGCUGAUAUCACAGCAACAGUUCAAACUGAUGCUGCCAUCAUUGGAUUUGUGGAGAAAUAACAAAGCUCGGUUGGGUGUCUCUACCACACCACGUAACUCCUGUAAUGUAGCAUCUCAUAGAGUGAAACAGCUUGAGAGGGCAGAGUUAGCCUAGACAAUGGAUAUCCAGCAGAAGGUCCACACGUUAAACACUUGUGUUAGUGUUGGCCCACUAUGGGAUCACUGAGUGGACCAGGAUGCCCAACACAAGGUCAAGGCCUUCACAGAAGCUGCUGGUUCCCAGUGGUCAGUAGUCAGAAAAAUAGGUGCAGAGAACAAACGUAAGGGUCUUUCUCAUACAUUAGUUGGAUAUGAUUUUUUUAUGAUAUUUUUUUUCCUCAGAAACGUAAAGAAAUGAGAAAAUAAAUUCAAAGUAAUUGAAGGAUUCACCAGGAGGCACAGCAAUUUGCACACUUCACAGCAGAGAAGUGAUUUGUUCUGCAAUAAGAGCUCUUCAGAUGAUCUAGAAAUAAACACUUUUUCUCACACAAUUUUCUUUCCUUAGCCUGUGGAACAAGUGAACACUGUUCUUUCUGAUCCUCCCCUUCCCUCAGAGACCCUUUGGUAUUUUCCUCUUCUUAUUUUGAAUUUCCUGUCUGCACUCUAGGGAAAGGAUUUUCCUGUGAGAAACAAAUGUCACACUGCUGAUUUGUUUGGAUGCCAACAGACUAAGUCUGUCCUUCGUGUGGAGCAAGUUCUCAUCUACCUGUUACCACAAGAGGACUGACCUAAGAUUUUUCUUUCCUUAAUUUUAUUUGGAGAUAUCCCUAGAGAAUUAGCUUUCUGCUCCCUAGCAGAAUUGAUAUUUCUAUGUAUGAUAAGCUAAGAAUGAUGACACUGUUUCAGGUAAAUGAAGACCUAAACUGGACUAAAACCCAAAAUUAAAACCAAACAUUACACAUUUUGAAAACCUACCUAAGUUCUGUAGGAUCCUCUGUAGCGCAUGUCUUUUAGGCUACCGUAUUUGAUGUUUUGUUUUGAGAGAGGGAGAAAAAGAAGUGUGCGCAGUCCCCAGCUGUGCACACGUACAGGGAACAGGAUACAGCAGCUCAGCCAGAAACAUCCAGAUAUGAUGAUACUGAACAUAUGCAGAUGUUUCUAAACUACAGAAGGUGCGUUUUCAUCUUCCUGGUGAUUCACAGGUAAUUGUUCAUGGAAAUGAAGACUGUCCAUGGAACACGGGAGGAAAAAAUCUCGUAGAUAUAAGGAUUUCAGACUUGAAUCUGAGCAGUGCAGUUCUUAGGAACUGUGUUCUGUUUCUGCUCAGAAUGAUGUGAACCCAAAUUUGCUUCACCUCAAGCACGAAUGAGAAGAUCACAGGAGAACACAUUUACAUGUGUGCAUGCUCAAAGUGUGUGUUCUGUAUCAAAACUUUCGCUUUGAACCUAUAUAAUAGCAACAGAGUGCGAAAGUCUAGCUGAAGGCUGUGGUAGGAUAUAUUGCUUACUGCAUUUUGUUUGAGAAUCCUUCAAUGUGUCUGGUACUUAGUAUGCUGAAAAUGCCUUAGAUGUCUUGCUGGCCUCUUAUGGUACAUUAAAGGAGAUGCUAGAUGCUGAUCCCUAUGAUUGCAGCAGCACAACUGUGGUACUCACCAGUUUGUGGCUUUGAAUGGGAUGUACAUUAUGUCUUCAAGCUGUUACAGAGCAUUGGGGAGUGUUUUGUGGCUUGUGGUAUACGCAGAAUGCGUGAUUUGUAGAACUUUUGGGUAUAACCAUCUAUUACCCUUGUGCUUGUGAGGCACUGCAAUGGGUGACCCAAGUGGUUUAUUUCAUGCAUCUGUGUGGUAUCUUGUACUGUUCACUAUUUUGUGUGAAAUAUAGAAUUGCUUUCAUUAUACAAUUACUUUGAAAGCUUACUAAGGACUUCUUUAUUAUACAUAAACUAAUUUUGGAUGACAAAAGUCAAGAAGCUUAAUUCUGGGUAUUACAAGCUGGAAAGGAUAGAAUGGGGGGGAAUGGUUUUAAGCUCAAGGAGGGAAGGUUUAGACUGGAUGUCAGGGGGAAGCUCUUUACAGAAAGAGUGGUGAGGUGCUGGCACAGGCUGCCCAGGAAAGCUGUGGAUGCCCCGUCCCUGCAGGUAUUCAAGGCCAGGUUGGAUGGGGCCCUGAGCAACUUGGUCUAGUACCGGAUCUGGAGGUUGGUGGCCCUGUCUGUGUAGAGGGGUUGGAACUUGAUGAUCCUUGGGGUCCCUUCCAACCCAAGCCAAUCUGUGAUUCUAUGAAAGCUCUCAGAGAGCUAGCUGAGGUUCUGAAGGAUGCAAUAGAAUGAUGUACAGCAUGGAUUCAGCUUUGUCUUAAGCCUGUUUCCUUUGUGUUUUGUGCAGUAUAAGUGUAAGAGGUAUCUAAAUCAGCACUUGGCCAUCAUUCAUGGAAAUAAUGCAAGUCAGAUUGGGAUAUUGCUUUAAUAAAAGUCAGGCUUGGUUGUACAGGAAAUUAGAUGGAGCCUGCUGACGCUUUAAAGGCAGAGGAACUGUCUGUGGCAGGUGCUGCUUCGGUAUUCUUGAACCUUGUCUCAGUUGUAACCCAAAUUCAUAAUAUUAGAAAUCUUUUAAAUUCAAGCCUAGGGGAUUUUUUCAAACAAAGCCAUAAGAUAACCUUUCUGUCAAAGACAGAAAAGGCAUUCACGUGACAAACCUAAUCAACAAAGCUAACAUGGCGCAUAAAAUCUGAAUCAUCUAAAAGAGGGUGGCAAGAUAGGUGAACAGUGAAUAAGUAAGUGAAGCUCAUACAAGAGAAAGCAUGUGAGACACUGUAGUAAUCAGAAAGAUGUGUAAAGGUGAACGGUGGUCAAGCUGACCAUGCAAUCAAGAGAAAAGGCAAACCUCCAAACCUAAGUGCACGUCUCACUUUGCCAAAUUCAGCUCUGUAUCCAGUAAGUAAUGUUACAUGGAAAGCACCAGUAGGCUAGGUGGGCCAGGUUUGUACUUCAUUUUGAUUUAGCUUUUCCCUUGACGUUGAUUUCCAUUUAUAUUCUCUGCCCUGAAAUCUGAAGUUGCAUUCCCUAUAACGGAUUGACUUAUCUACAGCUGGAAGCUGAGAUCCCUGCUUCUUUGACACUGCAGUAAUGGAGAUCUAUCUGAGUGUUUCCAUAUGGUGAGCUGAGCAGUCAUCCGAUAUUUCUGCAUCAUUUCUCCCAGGCAGAUGGACAGAUGGUGGAACGUGGUCCUGUUAUUUUUUCUUUUAAACAAAACCUUUUGAUUUCCGUGCAACUCCAUAAACAUCCAUUUCCUUGUAUCAGUGAGAACACCAGGGAAGGUAGCACCUCGUUUGCUUGCCUUGAGCUCCAGGUUGCUGGAUUCCUGGAGACUCUCUUGGCUUUUAUUCAGUUAGACGGCAAGUACUUUUAUUUUGCUGGGACUUUCUUGAUGUCUUCCCUCUGCAGCUGCUUUGAUGUCUUUCUGGUUUCUCUCCCACAUGAACUAUGUUCAGCCACCUGCACCUUAAGUCAGCAUGUUAUCAAACCCUCCACCCACACAACACGGGUUUUUGAACAGCUUUGCAUGUACCCGUAGUUUUGGGGUGGUGGCUCCUAUUGUUUCAGCUAUCUAUUCCAUAAAACCUAAUUGCACUUUGCAAAUAUAAUGAAGGGUGGUUGUUACACCCACUACCUUCAGCAAGACUUCACACAGCUUCUAGCAUCACAAUGCAUGCAUUUUCUGUACCCAGACAAGCCAUUGCAAUUACAGCCCUCAGUGCUCAACAGGACAUUAACCACUGACAACAAAUCAAGUUUUCUCAGACACACUCAUAUGCUCCCAUGAAACUCCUGAAACUGCAGAGCUUUUUCUUCCAUCUUCUUGUAGUAAGGAAGUCCCGUAUUUACGUGCACCACCUCCUUUACCUUGAUAGUGUCUAAGUCCUACAGGAAAACCAUCCCUUCCACUCUUCCUCUUGCCCUUUAAAUCACUCUCCUCUCCCCAGAUACUUCUCCAGUUUAAUCUACCAGUGGGCUUUUCUUUUUGCUGCAAAAGCUGAACUUUCCCUAUCCGUAGGUGUAUAACUUUGUGAAACGCAGUUCAAAAGUAACUGGCAUUGUCAGCUAGAGUCAGUGUGGCCAGCUGGCAGCAUAGCCAGAGCACUUUUGGCAAUGAAUGGAAGCUUUUUACAUAUCUGGUGAGCUCUCAGCCAUGGGACUCCUGUGUUCAAGUUCCUGCUCUGUCUGUCUGAAAGGAUCUGGAGUUGAAACCUCUACAGUGUGCAGAACUACCACUGUAAAGUGGGAUGCCUCCUUCAUCAAGGCAGUGUUUGAUCCCACAAAAUACCUUUUCACGAAUUUAAACAUCCUGUUAAGAGUCCAAAAGAGGACAUCAAGGCAACUGAGUUGACAAGAAAAAUAUAUAUGUAAAAAUUAAUAGCAUUUCAAAGGGUUCUCCUUUCACUCCAGCAUAGAAUAAACAAAUUUCAGAGCCUCUGGAUCUGCUAAGGAACAAGCAUCGUACUCCAGUAGCAACAGAACUGCAGCCUGAAUAGCAACAGGAUGCUAGCAAAAGCAUCCUGGCCUAGAACAGAGAUGUCCUUUAUCUGACACAGGAAAUUUAUCAACUUUGGAGCUUUUCCACAUAAAAUAGAGACUUUCAUGAGCGCUGCUUGCCAAGACCUGCUGCAUGCAGCACACAAAAGAACAGCGUGUCAUGGAAAUAAACGAGCCGCAUCCUUGCACAAGUGCUGUAUUCCUCAGCCCGGCGGUCAUGCCCUGGCAGGAACCUCACCUGGCACCUAUUUUUGUCAGCCAACAGGUCAUAACCCUGAGGCAACACGUUGCUCAGGAGAGAUUCAAAUAAACGAUUCACAGUAACAAAGGGAAUUCAAUGCACAGGCAGGCUUUGGAAAUCCCAUGGAAGUUUUUCUCUGGUGAGUGAUGAACAGAUUGCAAAAAUGCUUAAGUGCAUCUGGGAAGUACCAGAACCCACACCUGGUCCACCCCAGGAAAUUGCUUCAUCAUCAAGCAAAACAGUCGUGCUCCCUCUUGCUUUAUCUCCCUGUGGCUUGAUGAGUCUUCCUUCACUGGCUGGAUCAUGAUUCCACAUCAAUAGGUGAGGUGGGGAGUGUCUCCGUGCCAGAUCACACCCUAGGUAGGCAAAUUACCUUGCACAUGCAGCCUAAAUUUGAACUGCCUGAGGCAGGGACAUGGUCCAUGCUGUACUGAUUCUGAUAUCCCUUGCACCCUGGAUGAGACGUAGGCGUUGCCACAGCUCAGACAAGAACAACACACUUCCCAUGUACAGAGAUAUCAUAGAUGCCUGAGCUCAAGCCAUGAAUCUUGAUUUCAAAUCAUUCCUGAUUCAAAGUCACAAGCAUGCACCUGACCCACGAGAACACAGAAACUUCUGACACAUGUGUGUCAACACUCUUUCCUUGGCCAUUUGUGCUCCCCAGAAGGCUAUGAACCCCUCUUUGGUUACCUGGACCAGGACUGUGAAAUCCAGUACAAACACUGGCUAUUGAAAAGUUAGACAUUUAGCAACUCCAUGCACUCACAUCUGUGCUGCUGUUGUCUGUAACGGCAUGUGCUGUAAUGCAGCCCUGCAAACGGUGUGCGCAAGCGACUGCUAGCUGGGAAUUUUCUAACUUUCAAGUGCUCAGUUCUUUUUUAACAAGGCUUUCAAAUACACCUUGAUGUGUUUCUAAGAGAAAGUUCAAAAAAGUAGGGAAAUGAUAUCACAUGCGAAUUUCAGAAUUUAGCACAGAACUCUAGAGCUCUAGUAAAAUACACUCGUGAGCCAAUAUCACCUCUCUGCUUUAAGCAAGAGGUACUCAUACUUCCUUCUGAAAAGGCUCAGAGAUUUUUUACCCCAAACAAAUGCAUUUCCCACUCUCUGUGCGCUAGCCUUUGGUGAAGUAUUCAGUGAAUUCAGCUUGUGGCAAGUGUCCCCUUUACUGAAAAGUGCAUCCUUGGUUUGUGAAGUUUAUCAAAUACAAAACAAUUACUUGAAAAGCUAAUGCAGCCUCAGAAGGUUAGGAGAUUGAUAGCAGUGUGGUGGAGCCGAGCCAGUGUGAAACCAUCACAGUAUUGGUACCUGCUCUUUCAAUAACAACAUAGUGCUCCUCAAAGAAUGACUGAAUGCCUGGAUCCUUACAGUGCUUUAAAAAUUAGGCAGAAUAGAGAGAGCUUUUGCCUUAUGAUCACAUACGAGCUGGCAGAAGAGAGGAGGCAACAGAGCUGGCUGUUCUACCUUGGCAACACAUCGUCCCCAGAAUUAUCCAUGCUCUCUGCAAUCUCUUAUUAUGCUGGCUGGCCUGAGAAACAGCAGCCUCUCCUCCAAGACAGAGAGAAUAGAGAGAGCCCUCAUCAGCAAGAGGUUUGAGCUCACCUUCACAGCCCCACAGUGAUCGUUCACACAAGGGAUCCGCACCCCUCCAGCCUCACCGUCACAUUCAGAAAGCUGGGACUAGGAUCCAGGACUUCAUAGAUGAAGACAUAGAAAAAGUUCUCCGGCUCAGAACACUCACUGAAGCUGCUGGAAGGCAGAAUAAUCAUAGAGAGGGAGCCAAGUCACACUGAUAUUGUAUGGAGCCUAUUUGGAGGCUUGGCCUCAAUUAGCAUAUAAAUGAAGCGAUACACGCAGUCGCAGCUUGCCAGAAAAUGAGACAGAAUAAUCUCCCCAAUUUGGCAGCUCUCUAGAGCAUUUAGUUUGUGAAUGAGGAGCCAGGCACAAUCUGAAGCCAAGCUGGGUCCACAGCUUACAGCCAAUUGACUUUACAUGGUGAAAACAGGUCUUGGAAAGCAGUGAAGCAGACCAGCACUUCUGCUCUUGAACUAAGUUUCUAUUAUAGGAAAGUGACUUUAAAGUUAUUCAUCACGGUUCCACCUGAUAGCAUUUCACCUACUGCCUGUGCAGGCCCAGAUGAGAUGCGGUACGGACUUCCUGCAGAAGAGUCCUGGACAUUAACAGAGUGCUUGAUUUUAUUCCAAGUAAAGGAGAAGGAACUGAAAGUUCACAGGAAAAAUGAUACGAAGAUGUGACCACAGAGCUGCCGAGCUUAGACACAGACAGAAAUUGUACUUACAGAUCUUCAUUUGGACAGCGAGUAAGGAGACAAAAAUAGAAACGAAGACUCUCAAAAACUGGCGCACAUAGAGGGAAUGAGUAGUUCCAUUUACUGGUAUAGCCUAUGCAGUCCUUUUAAGGUAUUUCUAUUAAGACAGAAGGAAGACGGCUUGUAUUUUUGUGCAAAUGCCUCUCACAGUCAUUAGGGUUUAGUUUUCCUUUCUAAAUAUUUUCAAUUGUCAGGGGCUCAGCUAAGACGCAAAAGCAAGGAAAUCUAAGCACAAUGGCAUGCAGAUUUUUCCAAGAGCAGUGCGGUCUUGCUCCUAUAGCUACACAGUCUACGCUUUGGGGGAGAUCAAAUUUCUAGGAGAGAAAGCGAAACAGAUGUAAACAUAGGUAAAACGUAUGAGGAAAAUCAGUACCAGGCAAAGAUAGCCUUUUCUUUUCCUUCCGACAUUUUAAAUAUACUCUGAUUUAAGAAAGCUGACUUGAAAAGAAAUAUCCGUUCUCCAUUUGCAUUAGCAAGCACAGUCAAGCCUAGAUGUAACUGUACCUUCUGUUUUUCAUCCCGGCAGAAACGUUUCUCUUCAUUAGAAGCUUGGAGUCACAGGAAAAUCUUACAGGUCUCAAGGAGGCUGCUGAAUUAAAAACCUCAUUACAUCCCUUAGCUAGCUCGUGGCUCCCUCAUGCACCAAGUUAGUCCCUUCUCACGUUUGAGCUCCAAUUUAGUGCUUUGUUACGAUGCUGCAGCAGCUGCAGCCUGGAAUUGCGCAGAUGGCUGGUUCUUUGCAGAUGUUCUGGGCCGGCUUCUCAGCACCUGUGAGUGAGGUGCUCUGCUCAAAGUCCCCCUUGCCCCUUUUGUUAACGCUACCACCCCCUGGGCAAUCUGCUUUCCUGGUAAGGCAUUUCUGGCAGAGCUGGUGUGUCAAGAGUGGUUUCAGAGCCGAGUUUCUGGAAAAUAUCCCAUUCAACUUUCAACAAGGGAGAAAUAUUUCAUUGAGGAAUUACUGUUUAACCCUCCCUCACAAAACAAGGAGCAAAGUGGUUCAUCAAAAAAGAAUACAGCAGAAUGAAAUAAUCCCAUGACUCAGUGUUGAACCAGAGUUAUGAUGUAAAUCUACUAGUGACUCCAACAUGCAUCUGUUUAAAUUAAAGGGCAAAACCGCUCUAAUCUUGUUAGGUCUUGCAUAUUCUGACAACAAGACCUGAACUGGAACGGCAACAUAAUUUUCCACUUCUCUCCACACUUUGCUUUCUUGUGGUCAAAAUCUAAGAGUGGCUCUGGCAAAAAAAAAAAAAGAGAGGGCUGCUUCCCAAAAUUUCCCCUUCAUAAAUACAUUUCUGAUUAGUGCUUCUAGGCACGUAACAUCACCUCCAAAAAUCAUGAGCAUCUUAUGGCCAUGACCUAUAACUUGGAAAUUACAGCUUAUUAUGAAGAUACCAGCUCUGUCCUAAAUGCACCCACAAAACGUCCUGCAAAAAUCUUGUCUCUUCCUUUUACUUUUCCCUCUCCCUUCUUCAACUCAAAGAAAAAAAUCGGAAAGCAGAGCAAUACUGCUUAGAAGGCAUAAAUAAUGGCCAUUACAUGGAGUGUACAAGGUGCCUAGAGAAGCAGAGAAUGCUCUGUCACUGGAGGUGUACAAGGCCAGGAGGGUUGAGGCCCUGGGCAGCCUGAUCUGGUGGGUGGCAGCCCUGCCCACAACUGAGGGUUGGAACUAGAUGAUCUUUGAGGUCCCUUCCAACCCAAGCCAUCCUAUGAUUCAGUUUAUAUCAUCUCAGGCCUUCAAGGCCCCAGCUCCAUCUACAGUCCAGGAGUGUUCCAGGAACUGUCCCUGUUUGGCCAAACCUUUCUCUUCAUCUGUUGCAAAACAAGACCAAGGAACACAAACAUCACUUUAUAAGCUUAAGCUACCUGUUUCAAUUGAGGCAAGUAGUGAGCCACAAAGGAAGUCUAGCAGUGAGCUAUCCAUACUCCUUAUGGGUGCCAUUACCAAGCACAUGACUAAUGACCUGGGAACAAGUGCAGUGGGUGCUGUUACACUGUGGACAAGUGCCACACAGGUCUUUCCUGUCUGAUGUGAUUUCCAGCCUCUGGCUCAUCCCAGUUUCAAUUGCUUCCUUUGCUCUGCAAGGUCAGGGAAGCAGCAGAGGCUUCUAACAGGACACAUGCCAUCACUGCCAAGCUGAGUCCAGCCCUACCUCCGGCUGCUGCUUCUGGUGCGGUGGCUGCUCAGGUGAACACACUUGUGAGCAGCUUGCAAACACUCAACACACCCCAACUAUUUUAAUGAGCUUCACCAUACCUACUGCUUGCAGAAAUGCCUACAGAGAAAUGUCAGAAAUAAGGCUGAUUUCUCACUCAGAAAGAACUAGUGCGCUAAAAAUUAAGAUCUCAGAUAAGCUAGGUAACAACCUUCUGUGAGGUUUAGCAUAUGAUGCAGAGACCAGCUGCAAAAUAACAAUUGGAUUUCUGCUAUAAACAGAGUGAGUUUUACAGUGGGGUUGUAUAUCUAUUUUGGUGAAGUUAUUUAUUCAACAGGAAAAAUGCUAUUUGUAAAUCACUUCAUGGGGGGAGGAAAGAGGGAAAGGAAGUCCUGCUUGUGUUAUUAGAAGGUUCACUUCUACGCUGGGACAGACUCUAAAAUUAACAUUUCACAAAGCCACAGAUUUGGAGAGUGUCCAAGAAAAGCAGGUUGGGUUGUUUUGGUUUUUUUUGUUUUGUUUGUUUGUUUUUUUAAAUAAAAGAUCUCAGAGUCUUCAAGACACUUAAAGCUACUUUCCUGCCUGUUUUUUGCACACCAUGUUUUUCUACUUCCUGGCUGGGGGCUGGGAAAAAAAAAGGCAUAAGCUACUGCCCAAGGUCAUUAAGAAUAAUGUGUGUUAUAGGGUCUGCACGAGACAGUGAGGCAAAUGGAGUGAAAAGUGUACUGAAUGUAAAGAGAGGAAACAGAAAGCCCAGGUGGAAAGAUUCUGAGAAAAUCCAGAUUAAAAGCUGUUAAGAAAGAAAGAAAAAUCUGCAAGGAGCUGUAACUUUUGUGCAGCCUGAAUGUAAACUGCAUACUUUAAAUGAGUGGAUGUCACACCUUAAAUUGCUGCCUAUGGGUGAAGUACACACUGAGACAAGGGCGGUUCUAAUGAAAAGAGUCUCCCAAAUGAAAUCAAGUAAUAUCUGACAUCUUUAUCUACUGUAAACAAACAAAUGCUAAAAACCUCUUAUUUCUUCUUGCUACCCUAUUUGAUCUCUCAAAAAAGUCCAGCCAAUUCUUUUGGUUUCUGUAAAAACACUUCAAAUGGAAAACAAAAGAUGAGGUAUUUGUUUUUUAUUCUCAGAUUUCUCCCAAACAUGAACAUGGACAAAAUGGGCUGGAAACGUAAUCGUGAAUUGCAGACACCCGAACAGCACCAAAACAGGAAACAUUUCCAGAAGUUCUCAAGCCCAUAGGGUCCAGGACACUAGCACAGCUUCACUGAAAGACAGGCUGCCAUAGAUUGUAAGUCUAAGAUUACGUUAAACUUUGACUUGUCAGUUAAUUGGUUUCCUCUCGCACUGUGACCUGUUCUAGAUCCAUCUACUUUAUGUGUUUUUAAUCAGACUCAGCAGUGACACAUAUUAGUGAGGCAGUAAUAAUGGAAAAAUAGAGCAUCCUUUGCUCAACGUGUCCUAAAAAAGAUGUUGUCACUUGAGUCAUUCCAAGAAGCCAGCCAUCUGUCCACAAGGCAAGAUACACAUUCAAGUAAAUGUGCAUUUCCUCCUCUCAAAGCCAUUGUGAAUCACAACAUUAUAAACAUAUUAUUAUAUGUUGUUCCCGGGCAGAAUUAUACCAAAAUUAAAACCACCAGCAUGUCUUAGACUUCACCCUACAAGAUACCAGGCGCUCUGUUCUUGCUGCAAAUAGUUAUCCAGACCUUAAUAAGGCAGACCAAAAUAUAGUUCUUCCUCAUGCCUCAGAGUUUUGCAUGGUAAUUGUACUUAAUUCACAGUGUGCAUAUCCUCAAGUUUAAGUAGCACAUUUUGGCUUUACGACAGCCAGAGACCAGCGUGAGUCCUGUAAGUGUUUGCUUCUAGAUCCCAGCUUUAUCAAAUGCACGACUUUACCAAAUUCCUUUCAUUCUUUUUUGCUGCAGCAAACAGCAAGCAGAAGAGCCUCUCUGCCAAAUGCAAGAAUGCUCAUAGGAACUCGGGCUCACACGAGUUCUCCUCUGGGCACAUUCCCAAAUUUGGUACCACGAGAAGAGGCUGAAACACAAAAUCACAGAAGAGCUGUGAUUUUGAAACAAAGGUGUGAUGACCUUCAUGGUCCAAUAAAAACUUUUCCCUAUUUUUAUUUACUUAUUUUUUUUACUCAGUACCAUCAUUUUUUCUGCACAGGUAGAUUUAUUUUUUUUUAAGAAGGUGUUAGUCUAUGAUGUGUUUUCCACCUGAGAAGUGCCCAUGCAAAGGUAGGCAUAUAGCUCUAUGGCUUGAGAAAUGUAGCUGAAGGACUCCUUGCAAGGUAGUGUUUCAGUGUUGCAUCUGUCCCCUUGAUUUUUUGGGAAGUUAUCUAGGAGACAGGAUUUGCAAUUAAAGAAUUCAGUAUUUCUUUAACAUUCACUUAAACUAAUAUUUAAAAUCUAAUCUUUUCUCCUUCCAAUUCUUGAUUUCAUUUUCUCCCGGAUUAGUCACAAUUGUAAUAUUUUAUGCAUUUAUUAAACAAUAAAUACCAUAUAUCAGUUUCUUCAUCUUCCUAUUUCUGUCAUUAGUAUUUUGCUCUAUAGUUAAUAAUUUAACCCUGGAGCAUGGGUUAAGUUUGAAACUCAG
rnacentral:lncRNA from 1 species